AUGCACGCUGGCGGCGUGCCUCAUACAUGCAAGUCGCGCGAACAGACGAGGAGCUUGCUCCUCUGACGUUAGCGGCGGACGGGUGAGUAACACGUGGAUAACCUACCUAUAAGACUGGGAUAACUUCGGGAAACCGGAGCUAAUACCGGAUAAUAUAUUGAACCGCAUGGUUCAAUAGUGAAAGACGGUUUUGCUGUCACUUAUAGAUGGAUCCGCGCCGCAUUAGCUAGUUGGUAAGGUAACGGCUCACCAAGGCAACGAUGCGUAGCCGACCUGAGAGGGUGAUCGGCCACACUGGAACUGAGACACGGUCCAGACUCCUACGGGAGGCAGCAGUAGGGAAUCUUCCGCAAUGGGCGAAAGCCUGACGGAGCAACGCCGCGUGAGUGAUGAAGGUCUUCGGAUCGUAAAACUCUGUUAUUAGGGAAGAACAAAUGUGUAAGUAACUAUGCACGUCUUGACGGUACCUAAUCAGAAAGCCACGGCUAACUACGUG
rnacentral:rRNA from 1 species